UCGAAUGUUCAGAGGCGACUGCUGCUGGCUCCUCUAACGAGGAUGCAUGUGCGCGUCCCUCGCCUUUCAUCCAACAUACACUUGUGCACUAUAGGACGAGCGCCUUCCAUUAGGAGCCGCUCCACGUAACCUCUCUCCGGAGGGGGGGUGGGGCCGAGGUCUCGAUCCUCUUAUACAUCAACAUCCUGUCUCUAAUGCAUGUAACGAUAUUUUCUUAAACGAAAUA
rnacentral:misc_RNA from 1 species